rnacentral:lncRNA from 1 species
CAGUGUAGAAAAUUUGAUGUGAAACGUACCACUUCAUCUUGUUGGAUUAUGUAGCCAUCGCUUUCUUAUGUGCAUUUAAUAUUCACAGUUUUACUUUUUCGUUUGAAAUUUUGAAUGAUGAAAAUGUCUUCUUUUUUUUUUCCGAAAAUACCCCUUCCAUUCCAUCAAUUUUUCAAUAAUGAAAAUACCCUUCUCUCUUUAUGAUAUCGUGUGAAAAAGUUAU